GAUGAACGUUGGCGGUGUGCCUAAUACAUGCAAGUCGAACGGAGUUAGUAGCAAUACUGGCUCAGUGGCGAACGGGUGAGUAACGCGUUGGUGAUCUGCCUUGAAGUGUGGAAUAACGUUUCGAAAGGAACGCUAAUACCGCAUGUGCUCUCGAUUUUCAGAAAGUUGAGAGUAAAGGAUUUAUUCGCUUCAAGAGGAGCCUGCGUCCCAUCAGCUGGUUGGUAGGGUAACGGCCUACCAAGGCUAUGACGGGUAGGGGACCUGAGAGGGUGGCCCCCCACAAUGGAACUGAAACACGGUCCAUACACCUACGGGUGGCAGCAGUAGGGAAUAUUAGAAAUGGGCGAAAGCCUGAACUAGCAACGCCGCGUGUGCGAAGAAGGCCUUCGGGUUGUAAAGCACUUUUUGAGAGGAUGAGGAAGGACGGUACUCUCAGAAUAAGUCUCGGCUAACUACGUG
rnacentral:rRNA from 1 species